rnacentral:rRNA from 1 species
UACGGAGGGGACUAGCGUUGUUCGGAAUUACUGGGCGUAAAGCGCACGUAGGCGGAUUUGUAAGUCAGGGGUGAAAUCCCGGGGCUCAACCUCGGAACUGCCUUUGAUACUGCAAAUCUCGAGUCCGGAAGAGGUGAGUGGAAUUCCUAGUGUAGAGGUGAAAUUCGUAGAUAUUAGGAAGAACACCAGUGGCGAAGGCGGCUCACUGGUCCGGUACUGAC